GACGUAGGGCGCGAGCGUUGUCCGGAUUUAUUGGGCGUAAAGAGCUCGUAGGCGGCUCAUUGCGUCGUCGGUGAAAACCCGUGGCUUAACUGCGGGCUUGCCGACGAUACGGGUGGGCUGGAGUUCGGUAGGGGAGACUGGAAUUCCUGGUGUAGCAGUGAAAUGCGUAGAUAUCAGGAGGAAUACCGAUGGCGAAGGCAGGUCUCUGGGCUGACACUGACGGCUCAUGCACGAAAGCGUGGGGAGCAAACAGG
rnacentral:rRNA from 1 species